rnacentral:rRNA from 1 species
GAUGACGCUGGCGGCGUGCCUAAUACAUGCCAAAUCGAACGCUUUGUGGUUCAACUGAUUUGAAGAGCUUGCUCAGAUAUGACCGAAUGACAUUGCAAAGAGUGGCGAACGGGUGAGUAACACGUGGGAAACCUACCUCUUAGCAGGGGAUAACAUUUGGAAACAGAUGCUAAUACCGUAUAACAAUGACAACCGCAUGGUUGUUAUUUAAAAGAUGGUUCUGCUAUCACUAAGAGAUGGUCCCGCGGUGCAUUAGCUAGUUGGUAAGGUAAUGGCUUACCAAGGCGAUGAUGCAUAGCCGAGUUGAGAGACUGAUCGGCCACAAUGGGACUGAGACACGGCCCAUACUCCUACGGGAGGCAGCAGUAGGGAAUCUUCCACAAUGGGCGAAAGCCUGAUGGAGCAACGCCGCGUGUGUGAUGAAGGGUUUCGGCUCGUAAAACACUGUUGUAAGAGAAGAAUGACAUUGAGAGUAACUGUUCAAUGUGUGACGGUAUCUUACCAGAAAGGAACGGCUAAAUACGUGCCAGCAGCCGCGGUAAUACGUAUGUUCCAAGCGUUAUCCGGAUUUAUUGGGCGUAAAGCGAGCGCAGACGGUUAUUUAAGUCUGAAGUGAAAGCCCUCAGCUCAACUGAGGAAUUGCUUUGGAAACUGGAUGACUUGAGUGCAGUAGAGGAAAGUGGAACUCCAUGUGUAGCGGUGAAAUGCGUAGAUAUAUGGAAGAACACCAGUGGCGAAGGCGGCUUUCUGGACUGUAACUGACGUUGAGGCUCGAAAGUGUGGGUAGCAAACAGGAUUAGAUACCCUGGUAGUCCACACCGUAAACGAUGAGUGCUAGGUGUUUGAGGGUUUCCGCCCUUAAGUGCCGCAGCUAACGCAUUAAGCACUCCGCCUGGGGAGUACGACCGCAAGGUUGAAACUCAAAGGAAUUGACGGGGACCCGCACAAGCGGUGGAGCAUGUGGUUUAAUUCGAAGCAACGCGAAGAACCUUACCAGGUCUUGACAUCCCUUGACAACUCCAGAGAUGGAGCGUUCCCUUCGGGGACAAGGUGACAGGUGGUGCAUGGUUGUCGUCAGCUCGUGUCGUGAGAUGUUGGGUUAAGUCCCGCAACGAGCGCAACCCUUAUUACUAGUUGCCAGCAUUCAGUUGGGCACUCUAGUGAGACUGCCGGUGACAAACCGGAGGAAGGUGGGGAUGACGUCAAAUCAUCAUGCCCCUUAUGACCUGGGCUACACACGUGCUACAAUGGCGUAUACAACGAGUUGCCAACCCGCGAGGGUGAGCUAAUCUCUUAAAGUACGUCUCAGUUCGGAUUGUAGGCUGCAACUCGCCUACAUGAAGUCGGAAUCGCUAGUAAUCGCGGAUCAGCACGCCGCGGUGAAUACGUUCCCGGGUCUUGUACACACCGCCCGUCACACCAUGAGAGUUUGUAACACCCAAAGCCGGUGGGGUAACCUUCGGGAGCCAGCCGUCUAAGGUGGGACAGAUGAUUAGGGUGAAGCGAC